UACAGAGGCCACGAGCGUUAGGCGGAAUCACUGGGCUUAAAGCGUGUGUAGGUGGAUCGGUAAGUACCUUGUGAAAUCCACGACUCAAUCGUGGAACUGCUUGGUAUACUGCCAGUCUUGAGGCACUCAGGGGCAAGCGGAACAGAUGGUGGAGCGGUGAAAUGCGUAGAUAUCAUCUGGAACGCCAAUGGUGAAGACAGCUUGCUGGGGGUGUUCUGACACUGAGACACGAAAGCCAGGGGAGCAAACGGG
rnacentral:rRNA from 1 species